rnacentral:lncRNA from 1 species
UGGUUAAAAAUGAAAGCACAAAGGAAACUUGCCCUUUGCAGGCAGGAAGUCACGGAAGCAGGCUUCACUGAGUGAAGUCACCAAGCUGCAUAAAACAAGAAAGGCACGACACAAAGCUGCAAUGUGAUGAUGCCAGCAACUUUUUACUGUUCGGUGCAUUCAGCACAGUUGUUCCUUCCAGAGGUCACACACUCUCGCCCCCUACUAGUGCUUUCUUUAAUGAUGCGAAGCAGUUCUCUCACCCUCUGUCAAACAUUUUGCCUGAAUUCUCAGUGGCAACACAAGAGCUGAAUGGUUCAGCUGCGAGGAUUAAAGAGGUGGGUUUAAAAUGUAUGUAUAUCCUUCAAGUGUAAAAUUUAAAUUAGAAAACAGAGACACCCUUGCUUGCUCUGCCUUGGAUUUUGUGUAAAGGUCAGAAUUCAUCACUGCUGGGGUCCCACUGAAUUGAAGCAGUUUCAUCAAGGAUGAACCUGGGGCUAUUUACUACAGACAAGGCUUGUCAGCUUGGAUCUUUCUGAUUUUGAAUGCACACCUCAAAAUAAGUGGUAGAGGAGAAUGGGGACAAGAUUAUCAGGUGACUGGUACAUAGCCAAUGAGCAUAAAAGUUAAAACUAUAUAUAUGAGGCCUUGAUUAAUGCAGUUUUGGCAUCUAGACAGGGACAGAUGCAUUGCACACGUAAGAAUGCCAAGAAGAGAGUUAUCACAGCUUUAGUGAAAGGAAAAAGGUAGGUAUCAUCAGCACUGAGGGGUUUCCCAAUAAUUGAGGGAGAACAACGUAAUUUGCCUCAGGCCUCCAAUUUAGAUAAGUUAGACUCUGUCUCCAAUGUGUUACAUGAUAUAUUCAUGUACAAAGAGGUUCAUUGACUUGGUCCUGGUCUUACAGCUCUGCAGCACAUCUCUCAUAAGACAGGAAGUAAUGCAGCUCUGACCAACACCCAAGUGCUCAGCAAUGUUUUAUUUCUCACAUAAGCAUCAACUUCUCAGAACUUAGAUCUUGCUGAAAAGAAAUAAGACAUCCACAAACAAACUGAAGUGCCAGAAAUUCUCUUUGUGGAGUUUCAAGCUAACAA